UGGAUGCUUAAGGUUUUUCUUUGUUUCUCCUAUCUAUGGUGAUAACUGUACAAAAGCAUCCUACAGUAAUACAGAAGCUAUCUGUUUAACCCUGGCAAGUUAAGAGGGGUUAGAUCGUUCCACUUCUGACAGUC
ensembl:scaRNA